rnacentral:rRNA from 1 species
UACGAAGGGGGCUAGCGUUGUUCGGAAUCACUGGGCGUAAAAGCGCACGUAGGCGGAUGUGCCAGUCAGGGGUGAAAUCCCGGAGCUCAACUCCGGAACUGCCUCUGAUACAGCACGUCUUGAGUUCGAGAGAGGUGGGUGGAAUUCCGAGUGUAGAGGUGAAAAUUCGUAGAUAUUCGGAAGAACACCAGUGGCGAAGGCGGCUCACUGGACUGGUAUUGACGCUGAGGUGCGAAAGCGUGGGGGAGCAAACAGGG